rnacentral:rRNA from 1 species
CAGUAGCCGCGGUAAUACGGAGGGUGCAAGCGUUAAUCGGAAUUACUGGGCGUAAAGCGUGCGUAGGCGGUUCGUUAAGUCUGUUGUGAAAGCCCCGGGCUCAACCUGAGAAUGGCAAUGGAUACUGGCGAGCUAGAGUGUGUCAGAGGAUGGUGGAAUUCCCGGUGUAGCGGUGAAAUGCGUAGAGAUCGGGAGGAACAUCAGUGGCGAAGGCGGCCAUCUGGGACAACACUGACGCUGAGGCACGAAAGCGUGGGGAGCAAACAGGAUUAGAUACCCGCGUAGUCCCUGUCUCUUAUAC